CACACACAGGAUAACCACACCAGCCAGUCUCUCUCCUUCUCUCACACACACAGAAUAACCACAUCAGCCAGUCUCUCUCCCCGUCUCUCUCACACACAGAAUAACUACAUCAGCCAGUCUCUCUCCCCGUCUCUCUCACACACAGAAUAACUACAUCAGCCAGUCUCUCUCCCCGUCUCUCUCACACACAGAAUAACUACAUCAGCCAGUCUCUCUCCUUCUCUCUCACACACAGAAUAACUACAUCAGCCAGUCUCUCUCCCCCUCUCUCUCACACACACAGGAUAACCACAUCAGCCAGUCUCUCUCCUUCUCUCACACACACAGAAUAACCACAUCAGCCAGUCUCUCUCCUUCUCUCUCACACACAGAAUAACUACAUCAGCCAGUCUCUCUCCUUCUCUCUCACACACACAGAAUAACCACAUCAGCCAGUCU
rnacentral:lncRNA from 1 species